CCUACGGGAGGCAGCAGUGAGGGAUAUUGCGCAAUGGGCGAAAGCCUGACGCAGCGACGCCGCGUGGGCGAGGAAGGCCUUCGGGUUGUAAAGCCCUUUUGGCAGGGAAGAGCAAGGACUGUACCUGCAGAACAAGUCACGGCUAACUACGUGCCAGCAGCCGCGGUAAUACGUAGGUGGCGAGCGUUGUCCGGAUUUAUUGGGCGUAAAGCGCACGCAGGCGGUUCGUCAAGUCUCUGGUGAAAUCUCCCGGCUCAACGGGGAGGGGUCCGGAGGUACUGGCGGACUUGAGGGGACCAGAGGAGAGUGGAAUUCCCGGGGUAGGGGUGAAAGGCGUAGAGAUCGGGAGGAACACCAGAGGCGAAGGCGGCUCUCUAUGCUACUCCUGACGCUGAGGCACGAAAGCUAGGGGAGCAAACGGGAUUAGAUCCCCCUGUAGU
rnacentral:rRNA from 1 species